rnacentral:rRNA from 1 species
AUUAAAAGAAUUUGGCGGUAGUAAAGUCAAAUUAGAGGAACCUGUUUAGAAUUAAAUGAUAAUCCACAAAUAUUUUACCAUAAUUAGUAUAUCAGCUUAUAUAUCGCCGUUGUGAGAUUAGUUUUGGAAGAUAUUUUCUUAAUAAUAUAAUUUARUAAAUCAGGUCAAGGUGUAGUUUAUGUUAUGGGUUUUUAUGGGUUACAAUAUAAGAAUAUAAAUGGAUAAUUAUUGUAAAAUGAUUUUGAAGGUGGAUUUAAUUGUAAAUUUAUAAUAUAAUGGUUUUUUGAAUUUGAUUUAUACUAUGC